rnacentral:rRNA from 1 species
AUUGAACGCUGGCGGCAGGCCUAACACAUGCAAGUCGAGCGGAGCGGCGGACGGGUGAGUAAUGCCUAGGAAUCUGCCUGGUAGUGGGGGAUAACGUCCGGAAACGGGCGCUAAUACCGCAUACUAUCAGAUCAGCCGAGGGCGGAUUCGCUAGUUGGUGGGGUAACGGCCUAACAAGGCGACGAACCGUAACUGGUCUGAUAGGAUGAUCAGUCGCACUGGAACUGAGAGACGGUGCAGACUCCUACAGGAGGCAGCAGUGGGGAAGUGUGGAAAAUGGGCGAAAGCCUGAUCCAGCCAUGCCGCGUGUGUGAAGGAGGUCUUCGGGUUGUAGAGCACUAAAAGUUUGGAGGCGUUACCAGCAGAAUAAGCACCGGCUAACUUCGUGCCAGCAGCCGCGGUAAUAC